rnacentral:ncRNA from 3 species
GGCCGGAUAAGGCGUUCACGCCGCAUCCGGCAGUCGGCGCAUAAUGCCUGAUGCGACGCUUGUCGCGUCUUAUCAUGCC